rnacentral:rRNA from 1 species
GUGAGAGCGGUAGAGGGGUGCGUGGUAGGACGGAGGGAGCGGAGUGUAAUCGGGAUGAGUGGGCGGGAAGGGAGCGGAGGCGGUGUGUGAAGUGAGAUGUGAAAUGCACGGGCGUAAGUUGGGAAUGGCAUGCCAAGCUGGCCGACUAGAGUACGGUAGAGGGAGGUAGACUUGCCUGGGUAGCGGUGAAAUGCGGAGAUAUAGGAAGGAAGACCAGUGGCGAAGGCGGCCUCCUGGAUCGAUACUGACGCUGAGGCGCGAAAGCGUGGGGAGCAAACAGGAUUAGAUACCCGGGUAGUC